UACGUAGGGGGCAAGCGUUGUCCGGAAUUAUUGGGCGUAAAGAGCGUGUAGGCGGUCCGGUAAGUCGGCUGUGAAAGUCCAGGGCUCAACCCUGGGAUGCCGGUCGAUACUGCCGGACUAGAGUUCGGAAGAGGCGAGUGGAAUUCCCGGUGUAGCGGUGAAAUGCGUAGAUAUCUGGAGGAACACCGGUGGCGAAGGCGGCAUUCUGGACCGAUAUUGACGCUGAGGAGCGAAAGCCAGGGGAGCAAACGGG
rnacentral:rRNA from 1 species